rnacentral:rRNA from 1 species
AACGAACGCUGGCGGCAGGCCUAACACAUGCAAGUCGAGCGGACCCUUCGGGGUUAGCGGCGGACGGGUGAGUAACGCGUGGGAAUAUGCCCUUCUCUACGGAAUAGUCCUGGGAAACUGGGGGUAAUACCGUAUACGCCCUUUGGGGGAAAGAUUUAUCGGGGAAGGAUUAGCCCGCGUUGGAUUAGGUAGUUGGUGGGGUAAUGGCCUACCAAGCCGACGAUCCAUAGCUGGUUUGAGAGGAUGAUCAGCCACACUGGGACUGAGACACGGCCCAGACUCCUACGGGAGGCAGCAGUGGGGAAUCUUAGACAAUGGGGGCAACCCUGAUCUAGCCAUGCCGCGUGAGUGAUGAAGGCCUUAGGGUUGUAAAGCUCUUUCAGCUGGGAAGAUAAUGACGUUACCAGCAGAAGAAGCCCCGGCUAACUCCGUG